UGUUGAAAUGCGGGUUUGAACCAAGAACAUUUAGAUCUUCAGUCUAAAGCUUUAGCAGCUGAGCUUAUUCCGC
rnacentral:tRNA from 1 species